AGAGCGAACGCUGGCGGCAGGCCUAAUACAUGCAAGUCGAACGCACCUUCGGGUGAGUGGCGGACGGGUGAGUAACACGUGGGAACGUGCCCUUUGGUUCGGAAUAAUCCGGGGAAACCUGGCCUAAUACCGAAUGUGCCCUUCGGGGGAAAGAUUUAUCGCCAUUGGAGCGGCCCGCGUCUGAUUAGCUAGUUGGUGGGGUAAAGGCCCACCAAGGCUACGAUCGGUAGCUGGUCUGAGAGGAUGAUCAGCCACACUGGGACUGAGACACGGCCCAGACUCCUACGGGAGGCAGCAGUAGGGAAUCUUGCGCAAUGGGCGAAAGCCUGACGCAGCCAUGCCGCGUGAAUGAUGAAGGUCUUAGGAUUGUAAAAUUCUUUCAGCGGGGAAGAUAAUGACGGUACCCGCAGAAGAAGCUCCGGCUAACUUCGUGCCAGCAGCCGC
rnacentral:rRNA from 1 species